rnacentral:miRNA from 1 species
AUACUACUGACAGACCGCAACCU